rnacentral:pre_miRNA from 1 species
UUCAUCUUUUGCAAAAUCAAUCGAUCAAAGGGUUCAUUCCAUUUUUUUAUACAAUGAAAUCACGGCCGAGAAAAGAACAGAAGAUUCUUUCUGACUCUCUCUCUCUCCUCUCUGCCGUGUUUCUUUGUAUAAAGAGAUGUACUGGACCCGUUCAAUCCUUUUGAUUUGACAGAUUGGA